rnacentral:rRNA from 1 species
GACGAACGCUGGCGGCGUGCUUAACACAUGCAAGUCGAACGGAAAGGCCCUGCUUUUGUGGGGUGCUCGAGUGGCGAACGGGUGAGUAACACGUGAGUAACCUGCCCUUGACUUUGGGAUAACUUCAGGAAACUGGGGCUAAUACCGGAUAGGAGCUCCUGCUGCAUGGUGGGGGUUGGAAAGUUUCGGCGGUUGGGGAUGGACUCGCGGCUUAUCAGCUUGUUGGUGGGGUAGUGGCUUACCAAGGCUUUGACGGGUAGCCGGCCUGAGAGGGUGACCGGCCACAUUGGGACUGAGAUACGGCCCAGACUCCUACGGGAGGCAGCAGUGGGGAAUGUUGCACAAUGGGCGGAAGCCUGAUGCAGCAACGCCGCGUGCGGGAUGACGGCCUUCGGGUUGUAAGCCGCUUUCGCCUGUGACGAAGCGUGAGUGACGGUAAUGGGUAAAGAAGCACCGGCUAACUACGUG